CAAAGUUUGAUGUGCUGUUAUUUUCCUUCGCGGUGAUGGAAGCCAUGCUGUCUGGUGUUUUCCACGACUUGUAUGUCGUCACAAAAAAAAUAUAAAUAGCUUUUAACAACAAUCGGUACACUCGGGCUUUUCAAUAGUAUUAUCGUAAUAUAAUUUCUUCCGAAGUCAAUAACCAACUUCUUGGUUAUUCGUCUUGGACAUUAUCUUUAAAUACAGGCUAAAAAAUCCGAUACUAUUCCGAAUGUCAUAA
rnacentral:lncRNA from 1 species